UAAAACUAUGGAACAGAGUGUGAUGUCUUUAGGUUAGUUAGGUUUAAGCAGUUCUAAGUUCUAGGGGACUGAUGACCACAGAUGUUAAGUCCCAUAGUACUCAGAGCCAUUUGAACCAACACUACCGGUAAUGUCGUCAUUUUCUGCGCCAUCUGUGUACUGUACUAAAACUAUGGAACAGAGUGUGAUGUCUUUAGGUUAGUUAGGUUUAAGCAGUUCUAAGUUCUAGGGGACUGAUGACCACAGAUGUUAAGUCCCAUAGUACUCAGAGCCAUUUGAACCAACACUACCGGUAAUGUCGUCAUUUUCUGCGCCAUCUGUGUACUGUACUAAAACUAUGGAACAGAGUGUGAUGUCUUUAGGUUAGUUAGGUUUAAGCAGUUCUAAGUUCUAGGGGACUGAUGACCACAGAUGUUAAGUCCCAUAGUACUCAGAGCCAUUUGAACCAACACUACCGGUAAUGUCGUCAUUUUCUGCGCCAUCUGUGUACUGUACUAAAACUAUGGAACAGAGUGUGAUGUCUUUAGGUUAGUUAGGUUUAAGCAGUUCUAAGUUCUAGGGGACUGAUGACCACAGAUGUUAAGUCCCAUAGUACUCAGAGCCAUUUGAACCAACACUACCGGUAAUGUCGUCAUUUUCUGCGCCAUCUGUGUACUGUACUAAAACUAUGGAACAGAGUGUGAUGUCUUUAGGUUAGUUAGGUUUAAGCAGUUCUAAGUUCUAGGGGACUGAUGACCACAGAUGUUAAGUCCCAUAGUACUCAGAGCCAUUUGAACCAACACUACCGGUAAUGUCGUCAUUUUCUGCGCCAUCUGUGUACUGUACUAAAACUAUGGAACAGAGUUUUGGUAGAGCGCAACUCCAGUAACGCUGGACUUUUAUAGGCCA